AUGGUAUUUGUUAAGUGCUUACUAUGUGCCAGGCACUGUUCUAAGAUAAUGGUAAUAGUAAUGAUAGUAAUAGUAAUGAUGACAUUUGUUAAGUGCUUACUAUGUGCCAGGCACUGUUCUAAGAUCAUGGUAAUAGUGAUGAUAGUAAUAGUAAUGAUGACAUUUGUUAAGCGCUUACUAUGUGUCAGGCACUGCUCUAAGAUAACGGUAAUAGUAAUGAUAGUAAUAGUAAUGAUGAUAUUUGUUAAACACUUACUUUGUGCCAGGCACUGUUCUAAGAUGAUAAUAGUAAUGAUAGUAAUAGUAAUGAUGACAUUUGUUAAGCGCUUACUAUGUGCCAGGCACUGUUCUAAGAUAAUGUUAAUAGUAAUGAUAGUAAUAGUAAUGAUGACAUUUGUUAAGCGCUUACUAUGUGCCAGGCACUGUUCUAAGAUGAUAAUAGUAAUGAUAGCAAUAGUAAUGAUGACAUUUGUUAAGCGCUUACUAUGUGCCAGGCACUGUUCUAAGAUAAUGUUAAUAGUAAUGAUAGUAAUAGUAAUGAUGACAUUUGUUAAGCGCUUACUAUGUGCCAGGCACUGUUCUAAGAUCAUGUUAAUAGUGAUGAUAGUAAUAGUAAUGAUGACAUUUGUUAAGCGCUUACUAUGUGCCAGGCACUGUUCUAAGAUAACGGUAAUAGUAAUGAUAGUAAUAGUAAUGAUGACAUUUGUUAAGCGCUUACUAUGUGCCAGGCACUGUUCUAAGAUGAUAAUAGUAAUGAUAGCAAUAGUAAUGAUGACAUUUGUUAAGCGCUUACUAUGUGCCAGGCACUGUUCUAAGAUAAUGUUAAUAGUAAUGAUAGUAAUAGUAAUGAUGACAUUUGUUAAGCGCUUACUAUGUGCCAGGCACUGUUCUAAGAUCAUGUUAAUAGUGAUGAUAGUAAUAGUAAUGAUGACAUUUGUUAAGCGCUUACUAUGUGCCAGGCACUGCUCUAAGAUAACGGUAAUAGUUAUGAUAGUAAUAGUAAUGAUGACAUUUGUUAAGCGCUUACUUUGUGCCAGGCACUGUUCUAAGAUCAUGAUAAUAGUGAUGAUAGUAAUAGUAAUGAUGACAUUUGUUAAGCGCUUACUAUGUGCCAGGCACUGUUCUAAGAUAAUGUUAAUAGUAAUGAUAGUAAUAGUAAUGAUGACAUUUGUUAAGCGCUUACUUUGUGCCAGGCACUGUUCUAAGAUAAUGAUAAUAGUAAUGAUAGUAAUAGUAAUGACAUUUGUUAAGUGCUUACUAUGUGCCAGACACUGUUCUAAGCCCAAUAAUUAUGGUAUUUGUUAA
rnacentral:lncRNA from 1 species